CACCUCUCAGGGUCGCAUCUAAAGAGUUUCCAGUACUCUACCAGUCUCGACUAUGGGAGGGAGAGUCAAGUAGAGGCCUGUCCACUCCAUUCCUUGCUUGGGCAGUGGCUAGUGAGUGGAAGGCAAUCUGCUACAUGU